AAUCUGUUGGGCUGCCACUGAUAAUACAGGCAAUUCGAUUCUGUUAAAUUCAUCAAAACAGCCCCAAGAACCCGAUUGUGCAAGACCUGGGCCAAUGACAAGCUACCAAUGUGGUCCCACAAACUUGGGAAGAGAAGCACACAGUUGACUCUCACAAGCUGGUACAAGCCAACUCCAGCACACUGUGGCAAAUAAAUCAUCUUACUACGAAAUGUUUCACUCGUUUAGCUAAGAAUUCUGGCUUCCAGCAGAAAUCACAGUUUGGAUUCAUCACCUUAAAGUGCAACUGUCAGGUGACAUGAUCCAGUGCCAUCCCUGGGGACUCUGCUCCCCAACACAGGACCUGCAGCCAUGGAGAGGCCAUCAACUAACUAGCUAGUCUCAGUAAUCCAUGAAGAUGGUGAGGAGGCAACAGAAGAUGAAGAAGAAAGAAUAGCUACCAUUUGUUGAGUUCUUACCAUAUACCAGGCUGUUCUAAGCAUCACACACGGAAAAAUAAAAUGCAAACA